rnacentral:rRNA from 1 species
GAUGAACGCUGGCGGCGUGCCUAACACAUGGAAGUCGAGCGAUUUACUUCGGUAAAGAGCGGCGGACGGGUGAGUAACGCGUGGGUAACCUGCCUCAUACACAUGGAUAACAUACCGAAAGGUAUGCUAAUACAAGAUGAUAUAAGAGAUUCGCAUGGAUUUCUUAUCAAAGCUCCGGCGGUAUGAGAUGGACCCGCGUCUGAUUAGCUAGUUGGUAAGGUAACGGCUUACCAAGGCGACGAUCAGUAGCCGACCUGAGAGGGUGAUCGGCCACAUUGGAACUGAGACACGGUCCAAACUCCUACGGGAGGCAGCAGUGGGGAAUAUUGCACAAUGGGCGAAAGCCUGAUGCAGCAACGCCGCGUGAGUGAUGAAGGCCUUCGGGUCGUAAAGCUCUGUCCUCAAGGAAGAUAAUGACGGUACUUGAGGAGGAAGCCCCGGCUAACUACGUGCCAGCCGCCGCAGUAAGAC